rnacentral:rRNA from 1 species
UACGUAGGGUGCGAGCGUUGUCCGGAAUUAUUGGGCGUAAAGGGCUCGUAGGCGGUUUGUCGCGUCGGGAGUGAAAACCUCGGGCUUAACCUGGGAACUGCGCUUGUAACUGGCAAGCUUGAGUGUGGCAGAGGGGGGUGGAAUUCCACGUGUAGCAGUGAAAUGCGUAGAGAUGUGGAGGAACACCGAUGGCGAAGGCAGCCCCCUGGGCUAACACUGACGCUCAUGCACGAAAGCGUGGGGAGCAAACAGG